rnacentral:rRNA from 1 species
GUACGCUGGCGGCACGCCUAACACAUGCAAGUCGAACGAAGUAGCAAUACUUAGUGGCAGACGGGUGAGUAACAUGUGGGUAUCUACCCUUUGGCCAGGAAUAACACGAGGAAACUUGUGCUAAUACCUGAUAAGUCUUUACGGAGAAAGCUUUAUGCACCAUUGGAUGAGCCCGCACUAGAUUAGUUUGUUGGUGGGGUAAUGGCCUACCAAGACUGUGAUCUAUAGCUGAUUUGAGAGGAUGAUCAGCCACAUUGGGACUGAGACACGGCCCAAACUCCUACGGGAGGCAGCAGUGGGGAAUCUUGCACAAUGGAGGAAACUCUGAUGCAGCGAUGCCGCGUGAGUGAAGAAGGCCUUUGGGUUGUAAAGCUCUUUCGUCGGGGAAGAAAAUGACUGUACCCGAAUAAGAAGGUCCGGCUAACUU